GCCGGGAUGGUUUCAUCGGUUAAGGCGUCGCGCCGGACAGGCGAAGGUUGCGGGUUUAAUCCCCGCUCCUGGCC
rfam:Ixodes scapularis strain Wikel colony gcontig_1108378941000, whole genome shotgun sequence.